UUGGGUGAAAUCAAUGUAGGACCUGCACUUUGGAAAUGGAAUCCACAUAAAAUGGUGGGACAUACAUUAAUUUCACCCAA
rfam:Medicago truncatula strain A17 chromosome 4, whole genome shotgun sequence.